rnacentral:rRNA from 1 species
UACGGAGGGUGCAAGCGUUGUCCGGAUUUAUUGGGUUUAAAGGGUGCGUAGGUGGCUCAUUAAGUCAGUGUUUAAAGUCAACAGCCUCAACUGUUGGAAUGGCAUUGAUACUGAUGAGCUUGAGUAAAGUUGAGGUAGACAGAAUUGAUGGUGUAGCGGUGAAAUGCAUAGAUAUCAUCAAGAAUACCGAUGCGAAGGCAGUUUACUAAGCUUUAACUGACACUGAGGCACGAAAGUGUGGGGAUCAAACAGG